rnacentral:rRNA from 1 species
CCCGGGUCUUGUACACACCGCCCGUCACACCAUGGGAGCGGGUUCUGCCAGAAGUAGUUAGCCUAACCGCAAGGGGGCGAUUACCACGGCAGGGUUCGUGACUGGGGUGAAGUCGUAACAAGGUACCC